UAGGGAAUCUUGCCACAAUGGACGCAAGUCUGAUGGAGCAACGCCGCGUGAGUGAAGAAGGUUUUCGGACCGUAAAGCUCUGUUGUUGGUGAAGAAGGAUAGAGGUAGUAACUGGCCUUUAUUUGACGGUAAUCAACCAGAAAGUCACGGCUAACUACGUGCCAGCAGCCGCGGUAAUACGUAGGUGGCAAGCGUUGUCCGGAUUAUUGGGCGUAAAGCGAGCGCAGGCGGAAGAAUAAGUCUGAUGUGAAAGCCCUCGGCUUAACCGAGGAAUUGCAUCGGAAACUGUUUUCUUGAGUGCAGAAGAGGAGAGUAGAACUCCAUGUGUAGCGGUGGAAUGCGUAGAUAUAUGGAAGAAUACCAGUGGCGAAGGCGGCUCUCUGGUCUGCAACUGACGCUGAGGCUCGAAAGCAUGGGUAGCGAACAGGAUUAGAUACCCUGGUAGUCCAUGCCGUAAACGAUGAGUGCUAAGUGUUGGGAGGCUUCCGCCUNUCAGUGCUGCAGCUAACGCAUUAAGCACUCCGCCUGGGGAG
rnacentral:rRNA from 1 species